UACAGAGGGUGCGAGCGUUGUUCGGAAUUAUUGGGCGUAAAGGGCGCGCAGGCGGCUGCUCAAGUCAGGCGUGAAAGGCCUGGGCUCAACCCGGGAAUUGCGCUUGAGACUGGGCUGGCUUGAGUGCGGGAGAGGAUGGUGGAAUUCCCAGUGUAGAGGUGAAAUUCGUAGAUAUUGGGAAGAACACCGGUGGCGAAGGCGGCCAUCUGGACCGCAACUGACGCUGAGGCGCGAAAAGCGUGGGGAGCAAACAGG
rnacentral:rRNA from 1 species